rnacentral:rRNA from 1 species
GACGAAGGGGGCUAGCGUUGUUCGGAAUUACUGGGCGUAAAGCGAGUGUAGGUGGUUGUCCAAGUUGGAUGUGAAAGCCUUGAGCUCAACUCAAGAAAUGCAUUCAGGACUGGAUGGCUAGAGGACCGGAGAGGAUAGUGGAAUUCCCAGUGUAGUGGUGAAAUACGUAGAGAUUGGGAAGAGCACCAGUGGCGAAGGCGGCUAUCUGGACGGUUUCUGACACUAAGACUCGAAAGCGUGGGGAGCAAACAGG